AGAUGAGCUGUCGUGGAUAAAUUUUAUCAUUUGUUGUCGUUUUGAAUGGUUAAACACUCGAGUAAUAUCGGAAUAAUAGUAAUGCAUUUUGACAGUAAUCUUGUUGGUUGUUGGAACUGUUGAUUGAAGUAAAAACCUACGUUACGUGUAGAACAAAGAAAUGAAAGAAAUCAUUUGAAAGUCACGCCUUUAUCAGUAAUCAAUUAUCAGGGUUCCGAUUGUUAUUUGUACUCAUCUAAAAGUACACAAAUUGACAAAUCAUAAAAUAUCAUUGUUUUCAAAUAUAACACCAGCUGAAAACGUACGAAAUUACGAUAGAGUAAAAAUGUGGCCAUCACGACAAAAUUCAAUUUUAUGACGCGAGCAAGGUUACAAAAAAAUUAACAUUUCCAUAUUUGUAGCUCAUUUUCAAAACGUAACAGCCUUUCACAGGACAAUUUAAAACCUAAAACUUCUUUUGUAUGAAUUUUGCCGUUAUAUUCUUGUAUUUGUCAAGCAAUCAAUGGGGAUCUAAAUUCACCUAAUUUAUGGUCCAUUUUCCCGGUCAACAGCGACAAGAAAGAAUUAUGUCGUAAGUCGGAUGACGUAGUAUUUUACUAAUCAAGUUGUUCUUCCUAUUGCGAAAACUUUUUAAGUCUUUACAGAUAUAUUAACAGAGUCAACAAGAUGCAAUGGAUGAAAAUGUACUAAUUUGACCAUGUGACGGAAGAUAACGGAAGAACAGCUUACAUAAUCUUUUGGGGAUGCUCGGUUUCGAAAAUCAUCCCACUUACGUAUUCCUAAAGCCCGUUCCAUGACGCCGGUUUCGCAUGGAGUGUAUUUGAGCCUCUAAUCUCACAGUCACAGCAUGAUGGAUUUUGUAAAAUUUGCCAACAUACACAAGUUUGAAAAAUAGAGAAACGUUACAGCAGCCGAUAUCUCAACCAAACAAGACCAAUCUCGUGGGAACGCUGUCUCCAUUGUUCAAAUUCCGAGGAUCUUUUUGAUACAUCGUAAGCAUCGAAGAAAACGGGAGAUUAGAUGGAGGUCAACUUGAUGGAAAUCGCUAGAAGAUAACUCGCGUUUUAAGGACAGAUGAGAGAAGAGUCAUGUUUAAUUAAUACAACCUGGUUUUUAUCAAUUUAUAUAAACAUUUUGUUUUGUUAAUUGUAACAUUAGUCGUACUGUAUUUAAAAUACCAUAUUAAAAGAGAAGCGUUGCUUUCCUGUA